UACGAAGGGUGCAAGCGUUACUCGGAAUUACUGGGCGUAAAGCGUGCGUAGGUGGUUCGUUAAGUCUGAUGUGAAAGCCCUGGGCUCAACCUGGGAAUGGCAUUGGAAACCGGCGACCUAGAGUGCGGUAGAGGGUAGUGGAAUUCCACGUGUAGCAGUGAAAUGCGUAGAGAUGUGGAGGAACACCGAUGGCGAAGGCAGCCUCCUGGGCCAGCACUGACGCUCAUGCACGAAAGCGUGGGGAGCAAACAGG
rnacentral:rRNA from 1 species